rnacentral:rRNA from 1 species
GCUGGGUGGAUUAGUGGCGAACGGGUGAGUAACACGUGAGUAACCUGCCCUUAACUCUGGGAUAAGCCUGGGAAACUGGGUCUAAUACCGGAUAGGAGCGCCCACCGCAUGGUGGGUGUUGGAAAGAUUUAUCGGUUUUGGAUGGACUCGCGGCCUAUCAGCUUGUUGGUGAGGUAAUGGCUCACCAAGGCGACGACGGGUAGCCGGCCUGAGAGGGUGACCGGCCACACUGGGACUGACACACGGCCCAGACUCCUACGGGAGGCAGCAGUGGGGAAUAUUGCACAAUGNGUGNCAAGCCUGAUGCAGCGACGCCGNCAUGAGGGAUGACGGCCUUCGGGUUGUAAACCUCUUUCAGUACGGAAGAAGCGAAAGUGACGGUACCUGCAGAAGAAGCACCGGCUAACUACGUGCCAGCAGCCGCGGUAAUACGUAAGGUGCGAGCGUUAUCCGGAAUUAUUGGGCGUAAAGAGCUCGUAAGCGGUUUGUCGCGUCUGUCGUGAAAGUCCGGGGCUUAACCCCGGAUCUGCGGUGGGUACGGGCAGACUACAGUGCAGUAGGGGAGACUGGAAUUCCUGGUGUAGCGGUGGAAUGCGCAGAUAUCACCGAGGAACACCGAUGGCGAAGGCAGGUCUCUGGGCUGUAACUGACGCUGAGGAGCGAAAGCAUGGGGAGCGAACAGGAUUAGAUACCCUGGUAGUCCAUGCCGUAAACGUUGGGCACUAGGUGUGGGGGACCAUUCCACGGUUUCCGCGCCGCAGCUAACGCAUUAAGUGCCCCGCCUGGGGGAGUACGGCCGCAAGGCUAAAACUCAAAGGAAUUGACAGGGGCCCGCACAACCGGCGGGAGCAUGCGGAUUAAUUCGAUGCAACGCGAAGAAACCUUACCAAGGCUUGACAUGUUCUCGAUCGCCGUAGAGAUACGGUUUCCCCUUUGGGGCGGGUUCACAGGUGGUGCAUGGUUGUCGUCAGCUCGUGUCGUGAGAUGUUGGGUUAAGUCCCGCAACGAGCGCAACCCUCGUUCCAUGUUGCCAGCACGUAGUGGUGGGGACUCAUGGGAGACUGCCGGGGUCAACUCGGAGGAAGGUGAGGANNACGUCAAAUCAUCAUGCCCCCUAUGUCUUGGGCUUCACGCAUGCUACAAUGGCCGGUACAAUGGGUUGCGAUACUGUGAGGUGGAGCUAAUCCCAAAAAGCCGGUCUCAGUUCGGAUUGGGGUCUGCAACUCGACCCCAUGAAGUCGGAGUCGCUAGUAAUCGCAGAUCAGCAACGCUGCGGUGAAUACGUUCCCGGGCUUUGUACACCCCGCCCGUCAAGUCCCGAAAGUUGGUAACACCCGAAGCCGGUGGCCUAA